rnacentral:lncRNA from 1 species
UUUUUUUCUUACUUCUAGUUCUUAUCUUCCUUCUAAGUUUUAAUUAUUCCUGCUUCUAGUUUGUUUUGCUGCUUCUAGUUCUAAUCUAUAUCGAGCUUUCUUUCGUCUGUUUUUUGUUUUUUUGUUUUUUUGUUUUUUUUGUUUUUUUUUUGGCUAUGCUACCUUGAUCUCAUGUGGGCUAAGGGUUUCCUAAGGCUCCCUACUUGCAUUUUCAAGCAAAAAUUUAUUAUAAUAUCCAUAAGGUUGAUCAGAAAAGCUCAACAUAUUACGUGUCGAUUGUAAUAAUUCAGGACUUCAUCCAAAAUGGCUAGCCAGAAAAUAUUAUUUGGAUUUUUUGAUUCUGUAUAGAUAUUUAAGAUCUACCCAGCGAAUAACUGAUGUGGGACUAAAUACAUGCCCGCAUGGGUACAAACACCACGAUCGGCCGAUGGUAAGCCCCAAUGAAUACGUGUUGCAGUGUCCCCCAGUCCACAUAGGUUAUGGGCUAGGUCCGUUCUAAUACCAUUUGUAACAAUUUAGGAUCUUACCUAAGAUGGCUAACCAAAAGGUAUUAUUUAAGUUCUUUGAUCUUGUAUAGAUAUCCAA